rnacentral:rRNA from 1 species
CCUACGGGGGGCAGCAGUGAGGAAUAUUGGUCAAUGGGGGGAACCCUGACCGAGCAACGCCGCGUGAACGAAGAAGUUAUUCGUAAUGUAAAGUUCUUUUAACAGGGAAGAAAGAGAAAUUUGACGGUACCUGAAGAAUAAGCUCCGGCUAACUACGUGCCAGCAGCCGCGGUAAUACGUAGGGAGCGAGCGUUAUCCGGAAUUAUUGGGCGAAAAGGGUGUGUAGAUGGCAUAGUAAGUCUUUUGUAAAAAUGCUGGGCUCAACCCAGUAGGGCAAAAGAUACUGCAAAGCUAGAGUAUGACAGAGGCAAGUGGAACUACAUGUGUAGCGGUAAAAUGCGUAAAUAUAUGUAAGAACACCAGUGGCGAAGGCGGCUUGCUGGGUCGAUACUGACAUUGAGGCACGAAAGCGUGGGGAGCAAACAGGAUUAGAUACCCGGGUAGUC